rnacentral:rRNA from 1 species
GACGAACGCUGGCGGCGUGCUUAACACAUGCAAGUCGUGCGGUAAGGCCCUUUCGGGGGUACACGAGCGGCGAACGGGUGCGUAACACGUGAGCAACCUGCCCUUCACUUUGGGAUAACUGCCGGAAACGGUGGCUAAUACCGGAAAUGACUUCCUCACGCAUGUGGGGUGGUGGAAAGCCUUCGGGUGGUGGGGGAUGGGCUCGCGGUCUAUCAGCUUGUUGGUGGGGUGAUGGCCUACCAAGGCUUCGACGGGUAGCCGGCCUGAGAGGGUGACCGGCCACACUGGGACUGAGAGACGGACCAGACUCCUACGGGAGGCAGCAGGGGGAAGUAUGGGACAGUGGGCGAAAGCCUGUUCCAGCAACGCCGCGUGAGGGAUGACGGCCUUCGGGUUGUGAACCUCUUUCGCCUGCGACGAAGCGAGAGUGACGGUAGCAGGUAAAGAAGCACCGGCCAACUACGUG